GACGAACGCUGGCGGCGUGCUUAACACAUGCAAGUCGAACGGAAAGGCCCUGCUUUUGUGGGGUGCUCGAGUGGCGAACGGGUGAGUAACACGUGAGUAACCUGCCCUUGACUUUGGGAUAACUUCAGGAAACUGGGGCUAAUACCGGAUAGGAGCUCCUGCUGCAUGGGGGGGGUUGGAAAGUUUCGGCGGUUGGGGAUGGACUCGCGGCUUAUCAGCUUGUUGGUGGGGUAGUGGCUUACCAAGGCUUUGACGGGUAGCCGGCCUGAGAGGGUGACCGGCCACAUUGGGACUGAGAUACGGCCCAGAGUGCUACGGGAGGCAGCAGUGGGGAAUAUUGCACAAUGGGCGGAAGCCUGAUGCAGCAACGCCGCGUGCGGGAUGACGGCCUUCGGGUUGUAAACCGCUUUCGACUGUGACGAAGCGUGAGUGACGGUAAUGGGUAAAGAAGCAACGGCUAACUACGUG
rnacentral:rRNA from 1 species